CCUACGGGUGGCAGCAGUGAGGAAUAUUGGUCAAUGGAUGGGAGUCUGAACCAGCCAAGUAGCGUGAAGGAUGACUGCCCUAUGGGUUGUAAACUUCUUUUAUAUGGGAAUAAAAUGUUCCACGUGUGGGAGUUUGUAUGUACUUUAUGAAUAAGGAUCGGCUAACUCCGUGCCAGCAGCCGCGGUAAUACGGAGGAUCCGAGCGUUAUCCGGAUUUAUUGGGUUUAAAGGGAGCGUAGAUGGGUUGUUAAGUCAGUUGUGAAAGUUUGCGGCUCAACCGUAAAAUUGCAAUUGAUACUGGCAGCCUUGAGUACAGUUGAGGUAGGCGGAAUUCGUGGUGUAGCGGUGAAAUGCUUAGAUAUCACGAAGAACUCCGAUUGCGAAGGCAGCCUACUAAACUGCCACUGACAUUGAUGCUCGAAAGUGUGGGUAUCAAACAGGAUUAGAUACCCUUGUAGUC
rnacentral:rRNA from 1 species